GACGAACGCUGGCGGCGUGCUUAACACAUGCAAGUCGAACGGAAAGGCCCUGCUUGCGGGGUACUCUAGUGUCGAACGGGUGAGUAACACGUGGGUGAUCUGCCCUGCACUUCUGGAUAAGCCUGGGAAACUGGGUCUAAUACCGGAUAUGACCUUCCAUGUAGUGUGGGGGGUGGAAAGAUUUAUCGGUGUGGGAUGAGCCCGCGGCCUAUCAGCUUGUUGGUGGGGUAAUGGCCUACCAAGGCGUCGACGGGUAGCCGGCCUGAGAGGGUGGACGGCCACAUUGGGACUGAGAUACGGCCCAGACUCCUACGGGAGGCAGCAGUGGGGAAUAUUGCACAAUGGGCGGAAGCCUGAUGCAGCGACGCCGCGUGGGGGAUGACGGCCUUCGGGUUGUAAACCUCUUUCGACAGGGACGAAGCUUCGGUGACGGUACCUGUAGAAGAAGCACCGGCUAACUACGUG
rnacentral:rRNA from 1 species